rnacentral:misc_RNA from 1 species
GAAAUGCGAUACGCAAUGCGAAUUGCAGAAUUCCGCGAGUCAUCAGAUCUUUGAACGCAGCCCGCGCCGGAGAGAUAUCUCUCUGGCAUGUUUGUUUCAGUGUGUUUGAUUUACAUCACAAAACUCAAUGCGAUUGAAGGUCGUAUUUUUUUAAAAUAUGAAUUUCUCUCGUUAAAUUGGCGCGUACAUGCGAAGAGUCCAAAAUAAAACGUGCUUUCUCGCAUCCAUCGACGAAGCGGUCACUGUUCAUCAGUGAUUUCGUCUGGAUCUUUUGUCACUUUUUUUAAUUAAAAGGUGGGCGAGUUCGCGCACUAAGGACUCAUUUACUAAAAAUCGCAAACGCAUAAAAAUUAAAUCAUCUUCAUUUUGCACCUGAAAUCAAGCAAGACCACCCGCUGAA